rnacentral:tRNA from 2 species
CGCGAGGUAGAGCAGUUGGUAGCUCGUCGGGCUCAUAACCCGAAGGUCGUUGGUUCAAGUCCAGCCCUCGCAACCA